AUUGAACGCUGGCGGCAGGCCUAACACAUGCAAGUCCAGCGGAUGAAGGGAGCUUGCUCCUGGAUUCAGCGGCGGACGGGUGAGUAAUGCCUAGGAAUCUGCCUGGUAGUGGGGGAUAACGUCCGGAAACGGGCGCUAAUACCGCAUACGUCCUGAGGGAGAAAGUGGGGGAUCUUCGGACCUCACGCUAUCAGAUGAGCCUAGGUCGGAUUAGCUAGUUGGUGGGGUAAAGGCCUACCAAGGCGACGAUCCGUAACUGGUCUGAGAGGAUGAUCAGUCACACUGGAACUGAGACACGGUCCAGACUCCUACGGGAGGCAGCAGUGGGGAAUAUUGGACAAAGGGCGAAAGCCUGAUCCAGCCAUGCCGCGUGUGUGAAGAAGGUCUUCGGAUUGUAAAGCACUUUAAGUUGGGAGGAAGGGCAGUAAGUUAAUACCUUGCUGUUUUGACGUUACCAACAGAAUAAGCACCGGCUAACUUCGUG
rnacentral:rRNA from 1 species